UCCACAUUCAACUUUUGAACUUCGAAUAGUUGGUGCUGGAGGUAUGGCACUACUAGUGAGGUAUUCAUCCUUUCCCUUUUCGCAAAUAAAUUUCAUAACAGAUGGGGACCAUGGAAAAUAAUUUUUCCCAUUUAGUUUGUGACUUGUAAUAGAAAGAUGAGAGUUGUCCAUGCUUUCGUAGCUGUUCGAAGCCAUGACUUUUUUGAUAGCCAUUCCAGAGGCUGGGCCACAUUUUGGCAUAAAGAAGGAGAUAGCUUCAGGAAAGUUGAACCCAAGUGCAGAGUCAUGAAUAAUCCUGCUCUGAUACCUUGAAAUUUUUUGAGAGAUUUUCUUAUUUUCUCUUAUUUUUUAUCUAGUUACUUCAUCAAUCUUGGAUAUCCCCAUUAAAUCAGUAUUCAGAGGUUUAAAAAAACAAAACUAAAGAAAAAUGUCUAGGUCCUAUUAUGAAAUCUGUAAUAUCAGAAAGUGCUAUCUGCUAUCAAGAUUCAUGCCUCAACCUUUUGAUAGAAACGCGAGCACAUAUUUUCAAGAAACCAUUGGAAGAAAGGAAGUCUCUGUUGUUACAGAUGUCGGACAAAAUUGUUCCUCGGAAUGGAAUCAAAUCAUGCCUUUCCUUGUGCGAGUGUGUCAUUUCCCGCUUCAUUUCCUAAGAUUCUUUCAUUUAACAUGUUACUCGCUAACUUCCUUUUCCACAAGUUGAAUCAUUGUUUUAAAAGUAAACUUCUGGGAGCUGAAGUAACUCAGAUCUGUGUAAUUGAUCCUAAUAAAAACUAGAAUUCAGACACACUUGCGAGAAUAUGCAUAUUGCAGAACAAUAGCACCUCAAUAAAUUAGUUGUAUGCAUAUAUAAAUUGAGUGCACAGAAAAUUACCUUCUGGGAUGAAAAUUUUCAAAGUCAAGGGCCUCAUCCCCAAGAAAAAUAUACUCACAUUCAGCAACAACAUCCGGAUGAAGAAAUGUUUGGCAAACCACCUAUGGCACAAAAUAAGUUCUUACACAUCAAGAAAUUCUAUGCAUUCAUGGCUCAUUAUGUAAAGUGGAUUGUACUCUACAAGAGAGUAUUAGAAAAGAUCCAAUAAUAUCUAGACUUAUUCACGACUAAGUACCGAAUAAUGGUUGUAAUCAUAUAUUCUGGAGGAGUGGGAGAUGCAUUGUUUAACUCCUAAACACCAAUCUCAUAUACCUAUAUCCAUGAAUAAAGAUGUAGGCCACAUUUAUCAGAUUCUGGACGCCACUAAAACAAUGUAAAUUUUUACAAAUGCACCUUGCAAUUAUAGUAUUCUGUAUUUCUCUGUGUUCCAUUCACUCCAAAUCCAGGUAAUAUCUGCGUCAAAGAA
rnacentral:lncRNA from 1 species